CCCGACUUCCCUUAAUUCUCCUCUGGCGGUAGUUCCGAUCCCGCGAUACCACUCGUCGAUGGCCUCCGAUGCGGGCUUUGGGAGGGCGGAAGGCACGGAGAGCAGCUUGAAGAAGAUCAAGCGGUUCCUGCUGCAGGCCCCGCUUCUCAAGCGAUCGGAAACGGUGCGGCUUCGGAUCUCUUGUUGUUCGUCGUGAUUCCAGUUUCGCUUCCAUUGAUGUCAAUCAACAUCAUUUGCAUCUGAUUCCAACAACCAGCACAGCCCAGUUGGUGCUACGGGCUCACAGAGAGGGUCUGAGUAACUUCAAUUGGAAUGAUUCUACAUAAUUAAGAACAGUUGCUACUUUGGUUGCAGCUGCUAACUCAACUGUGAUGGAAGCAUCAGAAGAAACUGAAGCAGCAAUGAUGAUCUCCAUGAGAGCUGCUUUGGGCUUGGUGACUAAUAAUCCAAAUGAAGGUCAUCUUGAUGAUCUUACAAUUAUGAAGAUUGCAAAGCAACACAAAGCAGGCCUGUGAAGAAAGAUCUGAGUCUGCUCUGGUGCUGAUGA